AAAGAGCUUGCUCUUUCCGGAAUUGAGUGGCAAACGGGUGAGUAACACGUAAACAACCUGCCUUUCAGAGGGGGACAACAGUUGGAAACGACUGCUAAUACCGCAUGAUACAUUGGGGUCGCAUGGCCCUGAUGUCAAAGAUUUAUCGCUGAAAGAUGGCCUCGCGUCUGAUUAGCUAGUUGGUGAGGUAACGGCCCACCAAGGCGACGAUCAGUAGCCGGACUGAGAGGUUGACCGGCCACAUUGGGACUGAGAUACGGCCCAGACUCC
rnacentral:rRNA from 1 species